GAUGAACGCUAGCGGCAGGCCUAACACAUGCAAGUCGAGGGGUAACAGGAAAGCUUGCUUUUGCUGACGACCGGCGCACGGGUGCGUAACGCGUAUGCAACCUACCUCAUACAGGAGAAUAGCCCUUGGAAACGAGGAUUAAUACUCCAUGGUAUCAUUCUUUCGCAUGUUAGAAUGAUUAAAGAAUUUCGGUAUGAGAUGGGCAUGCGUCCCAUUAGCUUGUUGGUGAGGUAACGGCUCACCAAGGCAACGAUGGGUAGGGGGCCUGAGAGGGUGGUCCCCCACACUGGUACUGAGACACGGACCAGACUCCUACGGGAGGCAGCAGUGAGGAAUAUUGGUCAAUGGAGGAAACUCUGAACCAGCCAUGCCGCGUGAAGGAUGACGGCCCUAUGGGUUGUAAACUUCUUUUAUAUGGGAAGAAGAUCUGACGGUACUUGAUGAAUAAGCCACGGCUAAUUCCG
rnacentral:rRNA from 1 species